UACGUAGGUGGCAAGCGUUGUCCGGAUUUACUGGGCGUAAAGAGCGCGCAGGCGGUCGGAUAAGUCGAAUGUGAAAGCCCCCGGCUCAACUGGGGAGGGUCAUUCGAUACUGUUCGACUCGAAGGCAGGAGAGGGAAGUGGAAUUCCCGGUGUAGUGGUGAAAUGCGUAGAUAUCGGGAGGAACACCAGUGGCGAAGGCGGGUCUCUGGACAGUUCCUGACACUGAGGCACGAAGGCCAGGGGAGCAAACGGG
rnacentral:rRNA from 1 species